rnacentral:misc_RNA from 1 species
GACCACUGUAUGCGAUGAGGCAAAGAAAAUUUUGUACGCGCACAUGCACCUACGCACGCAGGCAUACUCACACACGGUCACUUUUUUAGGCAUAUCUUCAAAUUGCCCUACCACGGAGAGUCCGGCCGCCCAACACGCAUAAAUCCGACACAAAUACAGGCGUAGGCUCUUGUGUGCUCCACCACGCUUGCAUACUUGCGAUAAAGAGAUAACGGGCAAGGCAAACAUUCUUAUCCGAUGACGGACGAGCGCGACGGUGGUGUUGUGCAGGCCUUUCUGGCCCUUGGCGCCGACUCCAGCCAAUGCUUUCGCAUGUUUUCCAGAGGCUCCAACCCGGGAUGUUACGUGCUGGGCUGGUGGGCCACCCUCGUCGCGAAAGAGUACAUCAAGUCCACUGCCGUGCUGAAGAAGUGGUCGAGCGGCAACUCGUCCUCCGCCAUGGUGGACGUUGUUGUUGUGAAUGACGCACUCUGCAAGGAGAUCAUCCGCGAUUGCUUGCUGCGCCGUGGGGUGUCGGUGGAGUACUACGAGCGAGAGACGGCCGGCGGGUCGUACGUGUGCCGCCAGCGCGGCUCGCCAGGGAAUAUCACCGACUUUGAGGCAUCGCUCUUCGAGGUUGAGGAGGCGGAGAUUCAACUGCUGGCGAGCGGCUCCCUCGUGUUCGGUGCAACGCAGGACACGGGGACAGCGAUUGGCUUUGCGGCGCUGAAUAACACUCUGCGGCAGUUGACCUUUGCCGAGUACACGGACACGCCGCAGCUCACCAGCCUGGACGCGCUUGUCGCGCAGACGAACUUGAAGGAGCUUUUGUUGUGUGUGAUGUCACCCGCCGCGUCCGCUGGCGCCGAAGCCACCUUCAACGACGAUGACCGAAUCACUGCGGUGCGCCGUAUAUGUGAGCGGUGCGGCGUUCAGCUGAGCGUGCGCUCGCUGCGCGAGAUUCAGCAGCUGCAGAAGGAGGAAGCCGCUGCAAAAGGCCUCGAGGCACUGGCAGAGAUCCUGCGAGUGCCAGAGGAGCGUCUGUCGCUAGAGCUCUGCCCGAUUGCGCGACAAGCCGUGGAGAACAUUCUCGGCCGCAUUGAUGUCAUGGACCCGUCGAAUCGGCGCGCCUUCUACCUGCGCCGCACCGUUCCGUCCACGUAUAUGAAGCUGGACAGCGCGGCGAUCGAGGCGCUGAACCUGGUGAGCAAGAAGCCGGAGCCGCGCGGCACCCUUCCGACGUCUGUGUUCUCGUGGCUGAACCGCUGUCACACUGGUAUGGGCGCGCGUGCGAUGCGGCAGUGGCUGCUGCAGCCGCUCCGCUGCGCCGACGAUAUCAACCAGCGCCUCACAAUGGUGGAACUCUUCGUGGAGAACCCCAUUCUACGCGACAUGUUCACGACCCAGGUGCUGAAGCGGUGCGGCGACAUGGAUCGACUUAACCGCAAACUGCAGCGUCGCAGCCUCGCCCUGAAGGACACGCAGGCGUUCCUGGAAUUUGUGAAUGUCGUCCCUGCUGCUCUACAGGUUCUGGGCACCUACACAGGCCCGCAGUCGAAGCUCUUGAAAGAUGAGUACAUUGCCCCGAUGGAGGAUAUCAACGACCAUAUGGCGAACCUGAAGACGCUGAUCGAGGCAACGGUGGACUUCAGUGACCGCAAUGCGGUCCGCAUGAACGCCGCGUUCGACGACGAGCUUCAGGCCCUGCAUGAGCAGCUCACGAGCACGCAGCGGCAGAUCGACAAGGAGUACGGCCGCGUCCUGAGCAAGUACGGGUGGAAUGAGAAGCAGCUCAAGCACGAGUACCACGGUACGUAUGGCUACGUCUUUCGUGUCUCUCGCAAGGAGGAUCGCCAGCUGCGCAGCACAAAGGAACUUAUCACGGUAAGCACGUCCAAGGACGGCGUACGGUUUGUGUCAGAGAAGAUGGCGGCCCUCAGCGAGCAGUACCGGCGCAUCAGCGACGACUACGAGACACGGCAGAUGGACCUCAAGCGCAAGCUUGUGGACACCAUCGCCUCCUACCUGCCCGUGCUCGACGACGCCAAGGAGCUGAUAGCGACCCUGGACGUCUUCGUGGCCUGGGCUCUCGUGGUGAAGGAUUGCCCGCGCCCCAUGGUGCGGCCAGCUGUACGCGAGGCCCCUGGCACUGUGGCGUUGGUGAAGCAGGAGGGAACAAGCGCACGCGGCGCAGACGCAGCGCCGCUCCUCUCCUUCAAGCGGCUCCGUCAUCCUUUGGUCGAGCUUCGCCAGCCGGGCUACAAGGCCAACCCUCUCCAUCUCACCACGCAAACAAACGGACUGCUCAUUACCGGACCCAACAUGGGCGGCAAGUCCACGUACAUGCGCAGCGUCGGUAUCGCGGUGGUGCUAGCGCAAGCGGGCUGCUUUGUACCGGCCGAUGCGGCGGAGGUUCAGGUGCGCGACGCUGUCAUGUGCCGAGUCGGCGCGACCGAUCACUUGGCACAGGGCGUCUCUACGUUUAUGGUGGAGAUGCUCGAGUCUGCCUCGAUUCUCACAGGCGCGACGCAGGAUACCCUCGCCAUCAUCGACGAGCUCGGCCGCGGUACGUCCACGUACGACGGCUUCGGGUUGGCGUGGGCGAUUGCCCAGGACGUGGCGGUGCGUGUUCGCGCGACCCUGUUGUUCUCCACACAUUUUCACGAGCUGACGCAGCUGCCGCAGCAGUGCAGCGCUCUGCAGAACAUGCACUUUGGCGCCGAGGUCGACGAGUCGGCCGGAACGCUGCGCUUCUCCUACACUCUCCAGCCAGGCCCGUGCGGACGCAGUUACGGCCUGUACGUCGCGUCGUUGGCGCACCUGCCAGAGUCCGUGAUUGCGUGCGCCAAGGUGAAAGUUGCGGAGUGGGAGACAUUUGAAAAAGAGGGCGCCUCGAAGAGCAGUGCUGGAGCGGCGCUCGACGAGGCGGUGGUGCGGAAGGUUUCGGCGUACGCCAAGCGCAUCCGUGAGCUGGAACAGCAGGGACUGGGCGACGAUCACGACGCGGCGGUGCAGCGGCUAAAGCUAGAGAUCCGGCAGGACGCAGAUGUCCGCCCGUAUCUGUGCGAGGUGGCGUAGUCGGCUAUUGACGGGCGCACUUCGAUGGUACGUGCAAUUGCCUUGUCUCCUCCUCCUCUCUCUCCUUCCAUGCUCAAUCGUGGGACUGCAUGCACUUUUCUGCGUAGAGGAAGGGCUGAGAAGGGGGAGGGGUUCUCAGCGGUGGUGGACGCACACACGCACGUUUUCCUUAUGUUUUCUUGCGAACGCAGAGACGCAUAGAGGAUCAUGCAUAGACAGGGCCUACUCUUGUUUCUAAGUAUACGAAGACUACGAAGCCCCUUUCCCUUUAUCGAUUUCAGUCGGAGGCGAGGAGGAAGAAGGGACGCUACUUGUCUCUCUGCAGGCAACACACGCACACACACAUGCUUGGUGUCCUCCCCCUACGCCCAUCACGAUCGCGGAGGCGGCGCAAUCCCUUGCUACCGCCUUUUCUUCCUCAAGCAGCAGUUGGCCCUUCGACGACUCGUGCGCGCAUCGUCGAUCAACGCGUCGGCGUCAGACGUGUUUGUCGUUCUUUGCUCUCGUGCAUUGCAAGUGCGUUAUCUUCUCGCUAUCCUUGUUUGUAUCCCGUAAAGCUGGCGGUUGUGGCGGCGAAGCAAUUUCAAAUGCGAGAAUAGGAUUCGUGGUGACGAAGUGCUCGUAUUCCGCACCGCCCCUCGUGUGUGAUGCGAUGAUGAUCGCUGUGAGUCCUUCUCGAAAAGAUGGUCUCCCCCCCUCUCUCUCUCUCGCAUGCGAGUGCUACUGCCUGGCCGGGCCUUUCCACCGUAGUGGCAGUCGUGUGCAGUGUUGGCCGAACGCGUAUAUGCGUGGGUGGCCGCGCGCUCAUGCGGAUGUGUGCUUACAGAGAGGCAUCUGCGGCCUCGCCCCUCUCGUUCUCUAUGGGCCGUGUGUCUCUCCCUCUUGAUGUGCACUUGUCCCACGUACAUCCCUGCUUGGCUAAAACGCCGCCACCUCUCUCCGUCUCCCUCACAUCCCCUCCCGUGUGCAACUGGAAACUUUUCCUGGUGUGUAUGAGUGUGUGUGCACGAGCUCCGCGGUGCUCUCCUCGUCGUUGGAAG